GGAGCUUGCUUCUUCUGGAUCAGUGGCGAACGGGUGAGUAACACGUGAGCAAUCUGCCCUUGACUCUGGGAUAAGCGUUGGAAACGACGUCUAAUACCGGAUACGAGCUGCGAAGGCAUCUUCAGCAGUUGGAAAGAAUUUUGGUCAAGGAUGAGCUCGCGGCCUAUCAGCUAGUUGGUGAGGUAAUGGCUCACCAAGGCGACGACGGGUAGCCGGCCUGAGAGGGUGACCGGCCACACUGGGACUGAGACACGGCCCAGACUCCUACGGGAGGCAGCAGUGGGGAAUAUUGCACAAUGGGCGCAAGCCUGAUGCAGCAACGCCGCGUGAGGGACGACGGCCUUCGGGUUGUAAACCUCUUUUAGCAGGGAAGAAGCGAAAGUGACGGUACCUGCAGAAAAAGCACCGGCUAACUACGUGCCAGCAGCCGCGGUAAUACGUAGGGUGCAAGCGUUGUCCGGAAUUAUUGGGCGUAAAGAGCUCGUAGGCGGUUUGUCGCGUCUGCUGUGAAAUCCCGAGGCUCAACCUCGGGCCUGCAGUGGGUACGGGCAGACUAGAGUGCGGUAGGGGAGAUUGGAAUUCCUGGUGUAGCGGUGGAAUGCGCAGAUAUCAGGAGGAACACCGAUGGCGAAGGCAGAUCUCUGGGCCGUAACUGACGCUGAGGAGCGAAAGCGUGGGGAGCGAACAGGAUUAGAUACCCUGGUAGUCCACGCCGUAAACGUUGGGAACUAGAUGUGGGGACCAUUCCACGGUCUCCGUGUCGCAGCUAACGCAUUAAGUUCCCCGCCUGGGGAGUACGGCCGCAAGGCUAAA
rnacentral:rRNA from 1 species